UACGGAGGGGGCUAGCGUUGUUCGGAAUUACUGGGCGUAAAGCGCACGUAGGCGGACUGGAAAGUCGGGGGUGAAAUCCCGGGGCUCAACCCCGGAACGGCCUCCGAAACUCUCAGUCUGGAGUCCGGGAGAGGUGAGUGGAAUUCCGAGUGUAGAGGUGAAAUUCGUAGAUAUUCGGAGGAACACCAGUGGCGAAGGCGGCUCACUGGCCCGGUACUGACGCUGAGGUGCGAAAGCGUGGGGAGCAAACAGG
rnacentral:rRNA from 1 species